rnacentral:rRNA from 1 species
UACGUAGGGGGCUAGCGUUGUCCGGAAUCAUUGGGCGUAAAGAGCGUGUAGGCGGCCCGGUAAGUCCGCUGUGAAAGUCGGGGGCUCAACCCUCGGAUGCCGGUGGAUACUGUCGGGCUUGAGUACGGAAGAGGCGAGUGGAAUUCCUGGUGUAGCGGUGAAAUGCGCAGAUAUCAGGAGGAACACCGGUGGCGAAGGCGCACAUCUGGCCCGAUACUGACGCUGAGGCGCGAAAGCUAGGGGAGCAAACGGG